ncrna:unclassified sequences L31-Firmicutes ribosomal protein leader
CUCUGUACCAGAUGGUCCAGGGCGAGAGGAG